AUUCGGUGUAUGGAAGGACUGUAAGGUGUACAUGUCCAACUGGCAGGUGUCAUCUGACCUUGACCUCAUUUUCAUGGUUCAGUGGUUAUAGUUAAAUUUAUGUGUUUUGGUCUGGUUUUUUUUUAUACUAUAUGCAAUAGGUCUACUGUAUUUGUUGUAUGGAAUGAUUGUAAGGUGUACAUGUCUAGCGGGCAGAUGUCAUGUGACCUUGACCUCAUUUUCAUGGUUCAGUGGUUAUAGUUAAAUUUUUGUGUUUUGGUCUAUUUUUUUCAUACUAUAUGCAAUAGGUCUACUAUAUUUGUUGUAUGGAAUAAUUGUAAGGUGUACAUGUCUAGCGGGCG
rnacentral:lncRNA from 1 species